rnacentral:lncRNA from 1 species
CAGGAAAUCCGGGGGGGAAGCCGACGCAAACACGGCACGCGUGCCCGCACCAUGCCCGAAUCGGUGUGAAUCUGGAUUUGCGCGGUCAUAGUCUUCUAGCGGAAUUUCCUUCAACUCAUUAUGCUCAUAUUGUUGUAAGAGAACACAGCUGCAGUGCGGAGAGCAGCCAUGGUUCGCAAACUUCGACGGACAUCCCUUCCAGCACCCCUCGCGCCCCUCGCCCAGCCACGGCGC